GUGCUCAAUUCUGUAGCGCGCACACUAAAAUUGGAAGGAUAAAGAGAUCAGCAUGGCCCCUGCACAAGGAUGACGUGAAUUCCUGAAGCAUUCCAUAUUUUU